GACGUAGGGCGCGAGCGUUGUCCGGAUUUAUUGGGCGUAAAGAGCUCGUAGGCGGCUUGUUGCGUCAGCUGUGAAAACCCGCAGCUCAACUUUGGGCUUGCAGCUGAUACGGGCAGGCUUGAGUUCGGUAGGGGAGACUGGAAUUCCUGGUGUAGCGGUGAAAUGCGCAGAUAUCAGGAGGAACACGAGUGGCGAAGGCGGGUCUCUGGGACGAUCCUGACGCUGAGGAGCGAAAGAGUGGGAGCGAACAGG
rnacentral:rRNA from 1 species